rnacentral:misc_RNA from 1 species
UGAGAGCAUGAAGAGGAAACAAGAAGAUAACUGACAAAGGAAUUUUGGUGGUGACCAAAUGGAGAUUGAAGCAACAAUUGGUUAGAAAUAGAUCUACUAUUUUGUGGCAGAGGCUGUAGCACAUGCAACUUCAUUCCACAUAUUGACAUACAUGCAAAUUCAUGUAUAUCUGAUGGAGUCUUUCUUUAAUAUUUUGUUUUGAAGCUGGCUUUGUGUUUUAGUUGUUGCUUUGUAGGACUCUUGUAGUUGUUCCAACC